rnacentral:rRNA from 2 species
CCUAUACAUGCAAGUCGAGCGGUAGAGAGGUGCUUGCACCUCUUGAGAGCGGCGGACGGGUGAGUAAUACCUAGGAAUCUGCCUGGUAGUGGGGGAUAACGUUCGGAAACGGACGCUAAUACCGCAUACGUCCUACGGGAGAAAGCAGGGGACCUUCGGGCCUUGCGCUAUCAGAUGAGCCUAGGUCGGAUUAGCUAGUUGGUGAGGUAAUGGCUCACCAAGGCUACGAUCCGUAACUGGUCUGAGAGGAUGAUCAGUCACACUGGAACUGAGACACGGUCCAGACUCCUACGGGAGGCAGCAGUGGGGAAUAUUGGACAAUGGGCGAAAGCCUGAUCCAGCCAUGCCGCGUGUGUGAAGAAGGUCUUCGGAUUGUAAAGCACUUUAAGUUGGGAGGAAGGGCAUUAACCUAAUACGUUAGUGUUUUGACGUUACCGACAGAAUAAGCACCGGCUAACUCUGUGCCAGCAGCCGCGGUAAUACAGAGGGUGCAAGCGUUAAUCGGAAUUACUGGGCGUAAAGCGCGCGUAGGUGGUUUGUUAAGUUGAAUGUGAAAUCCCCGGGCUCAACCUGGGAACUGCAUCCAAAACUGG